CUUAUUUAUUUAGGGUUCCGUACCCAAAGGAUAAAACGGGACCCUAUUACUAAGACUCCGCUGUUCGUCCGUCCGUCUGUCACCAGGCUGUAUCUCACGAACCGUGAUAGCUAGAUAGUUGAAAUUUUCACAGAUGAUGUAUUUCUGUUGCCGCUAUAACAACAAAUACUAAAAAGUACGGAACCCUCGGUGGGUGAGUCCGACUCGCGCGUGUCCGGUUUUUUGUAACUUCGUAUUAAAGUGAAACAGAAAUUAACAACAACUGACGUUUGGUUUUCAGAUACGGGAUCAUGUCAAUUACGUGGACGAGUCGUAUGGUGGGACAACCUACGACGCCUUUAUAUGGAGCAACAGCGUUAGUCGAGACUACUUCGAGCCGCUGGCAUGUGUGCCCAUCAGCGAAAUAGUGUACAUUAGGUUAAUAUGGGAACAUAUCAACUACAUCAUUAACAUGGACGCGUCGUACGGCAGGGCAACCCACGACGCCUUCAUAUGGAGCAACAGCAUUAGUCAAGACUACUUCGAGCAGCGGGCAUGUGGUACCAGCGAAAUAGCGUACAUUAGAAGACUCCGGGUAUCCACUGCGGGAACACGGAACACCUUAUGAUUUCUGCAACCGGCGCCGCAGAAGACUCCCCGAGGCUAUAACGCCAUGCAAAAGAUGGCGCGCUGCA